AUUGAACGCUGGCGGCAUGCCUAACACAUGCAAGUCGAACGGAAACGAUGGGAGCUUGCUCCCAGGCGUCGAGUGGCGGACGGGUGAGUAAUGCUUAGGAAUCUGCCCAGUAUGGGGGGACAACCAGGAGAAAUUCUGGCUAAUACCGCAUACGCACUACGGUGGAAAGUGGGGGACCUUCGGGCCUCACGCUAUUGGAUGAGCCUAAGUCGGAUUAGCUUGUUGGUAGGGUAAUAGCUACCAAGGCGACGAUCCGUAGCUGGUCUGAGAGGACGAUCAGCCACACUGGGACUGAGACACGGCCCAGACUCCUACGGGAGGGCAGCAGUGGGGGAAGUAUUGGACAAUGGGCGGCAAGCCUCGAUCCCAGCAAUGCCGCGUGUGUGAAGAAGGCCUGCGGGUUGUAAAGCACUUUCAGUAGAGAAGAAAAGCCUAGGGUUAAUACCCCUGAGUCUUGACGUAACCUACAGAAGAAGCACCGGCUAACUCCGUG
rnacentral:rRNA from 1 species